rnacentral:rRNA from 1 species
GGUGGAGCAUGUGGUUUAAUUCGAUGCAACGCGAAGAACCUUACCUACUCUUGACAUCCAGCGAAUCCUUUAGAGAUAGAGGAGUGCCUUCGGGAACGCUGAGACAGGUGCUGCAUGGCUGUCGUCAGCUCGUGUUGUGAAAUGUUGGGUUAAGUCCCGCAACGAGCGCAACCCUUAUCCUUUGUUGCCAGCACGUAAUGGUGGGAACUCAAAGGAGACUGCCGGUGAUAAACCGGAGGAAGGUGGGGAUGACGUCAAGUCAUCAUGGCCCUUACGAGUAGGGCUACACACGUGCUACAAUGGCAGAUACAAAGAGAAGCGACCUCGCGAGAGCAAGCGGAACUCAUAAAGUCUGUCGUAGUCCGGAUUGGAGUCUGCAACUCGACUCCAUGAAGUUGGAAUCGCUUGUAUUCGUAGAUCAUAAUUAUACGGUGAUUGUUUCCCUGGCCUUUCAUCCAUCAGUAGUCACUAGUAAGGAG